rnacentral:lncRNA from 1 species
UAGAACUUAACAAGGAGAUCAGGAACAAAGUAUUCGAAUGGCGAGUCGCUUUGAAGAAAGCAUGGACAAGCAAAUGCAAUGGAAAUGAUGAAGAAAAAUGGAUUGAGCGUUGUGAAUCGUUGAAGAAGCAAUUACGUGACAUUAACGAUAAGGUAAAACGCAAUUGUAUUCUUUCCUAUGUUUAGAUUUAGCUAUGUGUCUGACGACUCGAGCAUAUCCAAAUGGUGUUUGGAGUUGCAGGUUUUCCGGUAUAAUUUGAUCGUUCCGUUCGGCCGCCAAAUGUUCGGAUUGAAAUGGGAAAAGGAAGUGGCCCGCCUUGAAGAAUAACUAGUAUGUUUUCUUCUUCAAGUUUUUGUUGAUGUAGGCAUUUUUAAAUGUUGGUCGGUUUUUGAGGAUCC